GCAGAGUAGAAUUGUGUGCGUUAAGUGCCAGAUGAACAGGGAGUUGUCAUCAGGACGAAAAGAAUUAUCUUGCGGUACAUGAUUCGCAUCCCGCUGC
rnacentral:ncRNA from 1 species